rnacentral:rRNA from 1 species
AACGAACGCUGGCGGCAUGCCUAACACAUGCAAGUCGAACGAGACCUUCGGGUCUAGUGGCGCACGGGUGCGUAACGCGUGGGAACCUGCCCUUAGGUUCGGAAUAACUCCCCGAAAGGGGUGCUAAUACCGGAUAAUGUCUUCGGACCAAAGAUUUAUCGCCUUUGGAUGGGCCCGCGUUGGAUUAGCUAGUUGGUAGGGUAAAAGCCUACCAAGGCGACGAUCCAUAGCUGGUCUGAGAGGAUGAUCAGCCACACUGGGACUGAGACACGGCCCAGACUCCUACGGGAGGCAGCAGUGGGGAAUAUUGGACAAUGGGCGAAAGCCUGAUACAGCAAUGCCGCGUGAGGGAUGCAGGCCUUAGGGUUGUAAAGCUCUUUUACCCGGGAUGAUAAUGACAGUACCGGGAGAAUAAGCUCCGGCUAACUCCGUG